AAAAGUAAAUACACUGCCAAAGAAGCUGCAGACCAGUGCAAUGGGCGUGCAAGUGAUGACUCAGAGGACUAAGUAUCUGAGGAAAACAGUGAAAUCUCGUCUGAUGACUCUGUUGCAGAGGAAAUGUUUCUCAGGGGAGAAGACAUUACUCUUGACAAGAUUUCCCGGUGUGAUAGGAUACAUUGAUGGAACCCACAUUCCCAUCAUUGCUCCUUCACAAAAUUAAGGAGACUAUGUGAAUAGGAAGUCCAUUCACAGCAUUAAUGUGCAGAUCAUAUGUGAUGCAGCCCACAUUAUCACUAAUGUGGAGGCCAAGUGGCCUGGGUCGGUACAUGACUCACGGAUGUAUCGUGAGUCUAAUAUCAGCAACAAACUGGAACAUGGAGCGUUUGAUGGCUGUCUGCUGGGUGACAGGGGUUACCCAUGUCAGGCAACUCUGAUGACCCCUUACCCUGACCCUGACCCAGGCCCUCAACAGAACUUCAUCCUGGCCCAUUGCAGGACGAGAGCCAGGGUGGAGAUGACCAUAGGCCUGCUGAAAGCCACUGCCUACGUCAUCUCAGGGUAACACCUGAGAGAGCCUGUGACAUUAUUGUGGCAUGUGUUGUUCUCCAUAAUAUUACCACAAUUAGAGGAGAGCAACACCCUGCCCUACAAAUGGAAGAGCAUGAUGACGACCCUAUCCACCCUGCAGACAUCCAGGAUGGAAGAUCAUAUGCCAUAAUCACUUCACUGUUUAAAAUAGCAAUCACCACCACCCAGAGCAGUCAAAUAAACAGAAAGACAAAUAAUUAUUUUUUUUAUUUUAUUGUAAUUAGGGAGGAAACUAUCAGUAACAACAUCAAGAUUUUACCUCUGUAGGCCUCUCAGGCUCCCUCUCAGACACUGCAGAGAAGGCAGCUGACAUUGUGGUCCCAUCAUCUUCAUCAUCCUGUGAAGAUGAGUGUUGUGUUUCAGUAGGCUAUACUUUAAAUAAAGCAUAAUCUCUGGAUUACUGGCUACUUACAGUCGAAGUGGCACAAGGAUCCAUUAGACCGAGUACACCUUCAGAAUCUGUUGGGACAAAAGAAAAACCCAUGAAAGGGAAAUGAACAUUGAACUAUAGGCCCAAAAGAAGUUGGAGGCCUAGGCCUAUUACAUCUUAUCAAGGCUGGUGGCUCCUGUGUGACUGUGUCCAAAGAUGAGGUUAGGUUAGGUUAGGUUUUAUUGUCCCCAAGGGAAAAUUCUUUUCCACAGCACUAUACUUGUUGGACUCAGCAUAAAAAAAUGAUGACACACAUACACCGACACCAUCAGAACACAUCACACUGGCGAGCAGCACACAAAAAGCAAUGACAUACAGCAUAUAAACAUGACACAAUCAACGGGGCCUGUUGUUCAGAGCAGCAAUGGCUGCGGGAAUCAGGCUUUUCCCGAAGUGAGCCUUUCUGCACCUCAGCGUUUUAUACCUGCGUCCUGAGGGCAGCAGGACAAGAUGUUCGUUUGUGGGUGUGUGGAGUCCUGUUCUAUUGCGGUUGCGUUACGUGUGAUGGCCCUGUUAUUAAGUUCAGUGAGGUUGGGUGUGGGAAGACCGAUGAUUUUUGCGGCAGUGCCAGUUAUGCGUGUGAGUUUAGUCCGGUUUUUGACAGAGAGCAUGGUAUAGAAACAGGUAGAACAGUACAGUAGGAUGGAUCCCUCCAGGGAUUCCCUCUGCGACUGGCCUCCCAAUAGUCUGACUCACGGCCAGCUCCUCUGCCUCUGUAAGACGUGGUGGUGGUCCUCCGCCAGUUUUGGGCGUCUGCCCUCUUUCUGUUGGCUGAGUAGGAGUCAGAUGUUGCUUUUAAUAGGCCUAAUUUAACAGGAUACAGGUGAGGACAUUUAUGUGUGUGAAAAAAAGCAUCAUGUUGGGGAUAAUGCACACUGAAACAGCCGCUGAAUGAUAUUUACUGGUAAACAUGAUUAAAAAGAGGCACCCCGACUAUUAUGCUGAAGUCUUACCUGUUUGAACAGUGUUUUUAUAUUUCAUCUUGAGCUGCUUUCAUGUUCUUUUUUCACCGGUGGGAUUGCAUCUAAGUGAACUAAAUUUCAGCUUUAACAACAUGCCACCUGUUUGCAUCUGUAGCCUAAUAUUAUUGUGAUUGCAUAAAUGUAUAAAAUAAAUUUAAACUUAUGCACUGACUGGAGCAGUAAUUUUCACCCACGCCGACUCCCGUUCCUUCGCUGCUGCAGCCGUGUUACUCUUCUUCCUGAAAACAGCUUCAAAUUCGCUGUAUUAGCACAUUAAAAUAUCCAACUCCAGAGGAGUAAAAAAUGCAGACCUUUUCUUGUUGCUUGUUGCCAUGGUGUCGUGGUAUUGGGGCUCCAUUGAUGACGGCUUUUUAAAGUCGUGGUGCACGUGCUUAACUCAGGGUGAAGAAACUCUGUGUUGAUUGAACCGAUUGAAAUCACCUGUUCUGAAACCCAUAACCCAGAGUUUCCCAUCUCAGAGUUACUCAACUCAGAGUUCAGGGUUAGGCUCAGAGUUUGUUGAACCUCCUUUCUGAAACGGACCCCUGUUCUCAAUACAUAGCAAAUGAAUGGAUCCCAGAUCAACAACAGAUCAACGUAAUACAUUAACAGUAAUCCGUAUGACACAAUGAGACAGAAAGAGAGACACAGAGAGAGAGACAGAGAGAGAUGCAGGA